GAUGAACGCUGGCGGCGUGCCUAAUACAUGCAAGUCGAGCGAACAGAUGAGGAGCUUGCUCCUCUGACGUUAGCGGCGGACGGGUGAGUAACACGUGGAUAACCUACCUAUAAGACUGGGAUAACUUCGGGAAACCGGAGCUAAUACCGGAUAAUAUAUUGAACCGCAUGGUUCAAUAGUGAAAGACGGUUUUGCUGUCACUUAUAGAUGGAUCCGCGCCGCAUUAGCUAGUUGGUAAGGUAACGGCUUACCAAGGCAACGAUGCGUAGCCGACCUGAGAGGGUGAUCGCCCACACUGGAACUGAGACCCGCUCCAACCCCCUCGGGGAGGCAGCAGUGGGGAAUCUUCCGCAAUGGGCGAAAGCCUAACGGGCCAACCCCGCGUGGGGGAUAAGGGUUUUCGGAUCAAAAACCUCUUUUUUUAGGAAAAAAAAAAUUUUUAAGUCACUUUGCCCUUCUUGACGGUCCCUAAUCAAAAAGCCACGGCAAACCCCGU
rnacentral:rRNA from 1 species